CCAGACUCCUACGGGAGGCAGCAGUGGGGAAUGUUGCACAAUGGGGGGAACCCUGAUGCAGCGACGCCGCGUGGGUGAAGAAGUCAUUCGUGACGUAAAGCCCUAUCAGCAGGGAAGAAAAUGACGGUACCUGACUAAGAAGCCCCGGCUAACUACGUGCCAGCAGCCGCGGUAAUACGUAGGGGGCAAGCGUUAUCCGGAUUUACUGGGUGUAAAGGGAGCGUAGACGGCAAUACAAGUCGGAAGUGAAAUACCCGGGCUCAACCUGGGAACUGCUUUGGAAACUGUAUGGCUGGAGUGCUGGAGAGGUAAGCGGAAUUCCUAGUGUAGCGGUGAAAUGCGUAGAUAUUAGGAGGAACACCAGUGGCGAAGGCGGCUUACUGGACAGUAACUGACGUUGAGGCUCGAAAGCGUGGGGAGCAAACAGGAUUAGAUACCCGUGUAC
rnacentral:rRNA from 1 species